rnacentral:rRNA from 1 species
GGUUAAGCAAUAAGAGCAUAGGGUGAAUGCCUAGGCACUGAGAGCCGAAGAAAGACGUGAUAAGCUGCGAAAAGCUGCGGGGAUUGGCAAAUACGAUUUGAUCCGCAGAUAUCUGAAUGGGGAAACCCACUAGAGAAAAGCUCUAGUACUGUACAGCCAAUACAUAACUGUACAGAGGGAACCCGCUGAACUGAAACAUCUAAGUAGGCGGAGGAAGAGAAAACAACAGUGAUUCCGAAAGUAGUGGCGAGCGAAAUCGGAAGAGCCCAAACCAAGGUGCGUGCACCUUGGGGUUCGGACCGCAUUUAGUUCCGUAAGUGAGUGGAAGACGAUGGAAAGCGUUGCCAUAGAGGGUGAAAGCCCCUUACACGAAGCGUAAAGGAAUGAGCGGAAUCCAGAGUACUGUCAGACACGUGGAACCUGGCAGGAAUACGGGGGGACCACCCCCUAAGGCUAAAUACUACUCAGUGACCGAUAGCGAUUAGUACUGUGAAGGAAAGGUGAAAAGGACCCCGGGAGGGGAGUGAAAGAGAACCUGAAACCCUGUGUUUACAAACUGUGGAACAGCGCAAGCUGAACCGCGUACUUUUUGUAGAACGGUCCGGCGAGUUAUAGUUACUGGCAAGGUUAAGGACUUAAGGUCCGGAGCCGAAGCGAGAGCGAGUCUGAAUAGGGCGCAAAGUCAGUAGAUAUAGACCCGAAACCGGGUGACCUAUCCAUGUCCAGGAUGAAGCUAAAGUAAAAUUUGGUGGAGGUCCGAACGCACAUCCGUUGAAAAGGGUGGCGAUGAGGUGUGGAUAGCGGAGAAAUUCCAAUCGAACCCGGAGAUAGCUGGUUCUCCUCGAAAUAGCUUUAGGGCUAGCCUCAUGGAGAGUCUAACGCAGGUAGAGCACUGAAUUCUUGAGGGGGCGUCAAAGUCUACCAAUAGAUAUCAAACUCCGAAUGGCGUAUAGAUAUACAUGGGAGUCAGACUGCGGGAUAUAAAUUCCGUAGUCAAAAGGGAAACAGCCCAGAUCUACAGCUAAGGUCCCAAAGUACAUGUUAAGUGGUAAAGGAUGUGGGAUUUCAUAGACAACUAGGAUGUUGGCUUAGAAGCAGCCACACAUUCAAAGAGUGCGUAAUAGCUCACUAGUCGAGAGGUCCUGCGCCGAAAAUUAACGGGGCUAAAACAUGACACCGAAGCUUAGGGAUGUAGCAAUACAUCGGUAGAGGAGCAUUGAAAACACGUAGAAGCGGUACCGGAAGGAGCCGUGGAGAGUUUUGAAGAGAGAAUGCCGGAAUGAGUAGCGAGAUGGAGGUGAGAAUCCUCCAGGCCGAAUAUCUAAGGUUUCCAGGGUAAAGCUGAUCUGCCCUGGGUAAGUCGGGGCCUAAGGCGAGGCUGAGAAGCGUAGUCGAUGGACAACUGGUGUAGAUUCCAGUACCUUACUAAAUCAGAAAUGUGGGGACACAUGGAGAAAGAGAGAGCCGGGAAUGAGAAGACCGGUGCAAGGGAGGUAGGAGUGUAGUAGGAAAAACCGCUAUACAAUCUGAAGACCUGAUGCGGAUCGAAAAGAAGUAGAGAAGCUCUUGGACUCUGUGGCGAGAAAAGCCGCUAUUGUGUUUAGUAAGCCCGUACCGCAAACCGACACAGGUAGAUGAGGAGAGAAUCCUAAGGCCGGCGGGAGAAGCAUUGUUAAGGAACUCGGCAAAAUGACCCCGUAACUUCGGGAGAAGGGGUGCCCAGGCAACUGGGCCGCAGAGAAAAGGCUCAAGCAACUGUUUAGCAAAAACACAGGUCUAUGCGAAACCGUAAGGUAAAGUAUAUGGGCUGACGCCUGCCCGGUGCUGGAAGGUUAAGAGGAGAGGUUAGAGCAAUCGAAGCUUUGAAUUGAAGCCCCAGUAAACGGCGGCCGUAACUAUAACGGUCCUAAGGUAGCGAAAUUCCUUGUCGGGUAAGUUCCGACCCGCACGAAAGGCGUAAUGAUUUGAGCGCUGUCUCAACAAUGCACCCGGUGAAAUUGAAGUGCCAGUGAAGAUGCUGGUUACCCGCGCCAGGACGGAAAGACCCCAUGGAGCUUUACUCCAGCUUGAUACUGGGAUUCGGUAAUGUAUGCACAGGAUAGGUGGGAGACGAAGAAGAUAGAACUUCGGUUUUAUCAGAGUCGCUGUUGGGAUACCACCCUUAUGUUAUUGGAUUUCUAACCUUAGGCCGUAA